GGAAGCUUCACCUCGAGCUGAUAACUUAGCGGCGGGGGAGGAAGAGCUUCCCCUCGGCCGGGGAAAAGAAGGCGGUGCCGUGGAGUUUGGGGGCGCUGGGCUGAGCCCCCGACACCCCCCCGGCUGUGGGGUCCGAGCGGCGGCGCAGCAGCGAGCGCGGCUUUGGGGCAGGGCAGGGCGGGCGUGUGCGCAUCGCCCGGUGCCGCACGGCGCGGGUGUGCUUCGUGGCCUUUGGGCGAUGAAAGCGGCUAUUGAGAGCGGUUUUACCUGACUUCUCCGCUGCGGAAUAUAACAGAUGUGUUAAACGCCCUAUGUUUUAAAAGCACCCCAUUCAGCCCUUUGGUGCGGCUGGACCUUUGCAAGCAGAAGUGUGCAGCUCAACCAUGCAGCCUUGAUCCUAUUAACCAUGAACUAACUGUCACCUUCAGCUGUUUUCCCUUUUUACUUUUUAACACAAAGCUUUCUCAAAAAUCUUAUUAACCAGCUUUAUUUCUCUCGAUGGUUUUUGUCCGGCCGUUUUGUGUUGAUUAUCUCCAUGUCGAUGCUUUAACCAUUCAAUAAAAGUGCAUCUGCGAUUUAUAUCACAUUAAGGAAGAAAGAGAGUCUGUUAAACCUCUCCCCUGAUCCAAAUCAAAAAGUUAUUUACUAGGGAGGGUGGAACCGGCCCCCGAAGCCUCCGCCGGGGAUGCUGCCGGUGCCGCAGGCUGCCCUCCAAGCAGACGAGCAUCUGCGGCAGGGGACCGGCUCUCCGAAAGCAUCGCUUUGAAAUAAAACUUGGCCGGAGCGUGUGCCCCCCUCCCCGGCCGCGCUCGUCUCCACGCUUAGCAGCUUUGGGGCAGUGCCUGUCAGAGCAUCAGUUCAGCAGUGUUCAUGCAAGUAGCCUCGUGUAAUGCUGACUGUUGUCUAGCAAGUUGCCACACCAGCUGAGAAGAUCAAGGAGACAUGCAAAUGCUCAGGAACACAUACAGAGGUCUUCUACUUACCUGAGAGGAGAAGAGCUACAAAGAAUUAAUAUGGUAUGUUCAUCAUUAGUGGCUACAUACUCUGGAAAGUUGUUUCUAGGUAAUCUUUGUUAGCAAACACGCUUCUGUAGUUAGUGAAGGCCUCUAACUGGACACCACAACUUAGCUCCACAGAGGUGCUCCAGAAGAGAAAUGUUUAUUAUCCUUUAAAUGGAAGAAGGGGCAGGGGAAAUCUGGAGCAGGUAGGCAAUACUGCAUGGGACUAGCUCUGCUGCAUGUCUUUAUCUUCGUGUUGUGAACACCCCGACUGUGAAAAGAAGUGUACUCCAUCCCUUGCUGCAAGGGUUGUUGCAAUUUUUAGUUAACUGCUUCAAGCUGAUCUGAGAUACCAGAAUGAAGUGACAUGGAAGGCAAAAUGCCUUUCAAUUCAUCACUUAAAAAAAGCAAUAUAGGUUGCCUGAAAAUAGGACUUUAUCUCAGCUAAGGGCAGAUGAUGAUAAAAGAACUUAGCCUGAUUGCUCAUGUGCUACCUUUUUGACUGGAAAUAAUGAUCUUGGACUGCUGCUCUGCCACAAGCUGUCAUAUGACUUAGGGAAAGUUACUUUUUCUCUGUGCUUCUUUUUUUCCCCUCUCAAUUGCAUAGGUGAUUCUUAAGCUGUUUGAAGAGCAG
rnacentral:lncRNA from 1 species